GACGUAGGGCGCGAGCGUUGUCCGGAUUUAUUGGGCGUAAAGAGCUCGUAGGCGGCUUGUCGCGUCGUCUGUGAAAUCCCGCGGCUCAACUGCGGGUCUGCAGUCGAUACGGGCAGGCUAGAGUUCGGUAGGGGAGACUGGAAUUCCUGGUGUAGCGGUGAAAUGCGCAGAUAUCAGGAGGAACACCGAUGGCGAAGGCAGGUCUCUGGGCCGAUACUGACGCUGAGGAGCGAAAGCGUGGGGAGCGAACAGG
rnacentral:rRNA from 1 species